rnacentral:rRNA from 1 species
GAGUUUGAUCCUGGCUCAGAUUGAACGCUAGCGGGAUGCCUUACACAUGCAAGUCGAACGGCAGCACGGACUUCGGUCUGGUGGCGAGUGGCGAACGGGUGAGUAAUGUAUCGGAACGUGCCCAGUAGCGGGGGAUAACUACGCGAAAGCGUAGCUAAUACCGCAUACGCCCUACGGGGGAAAGCAGGGGAUCGCAAGACCUUGCACUAUUGGAGCGGCCGAUAUCGGAUUAGCUAGUUGGUGGGGUAACGGCUCACCAAGGCGACGAUCCGUAGCUGGUUUGAGAGGACGACCAGCCACACUGGGACUGAGACACGGCCCAGACUCCUACGGGAGGCAGCAGUGGGGAAUUUUGGACAAUGGGGGAAACCCUGAUCCAGCCAUCCCGCGUGUGCGAUGAAGGUCUUCGGGUUGUAAAGCACUUUUGGCAGGAAAGAAACGUCAUGGGUUAAUACCCCGUGAAACUGACGGUACCUGCAGAAUAAGCACCGUUCUUAAAGGUCGUGCCAGCAGCCGCGGUAAUAC